CUAUGUGAUAGGAAAUCACUUUCAUAACCCUUAUAAUGAAUGUGUCAUAAAAUCACAAAAGGGACACAUGUAUGGACUUAUGAAGUAGAUAUCCAAAGGUGAAGAACCACAGGGGUUGUCACUUUAAGAUAUUACUAUAUCCCAGGAUCAGAACCAAAGUAACUGAUAAAGUAUUAUUGCCUUUAAGAAAGAAACAUCAGAGUGGGACUCUGGAAGCGUGCAUUCACUUAGGUUGUUAACCAAAGUGAAAAUAAGCCAUUUUAACAAAUGGAACUUCAUAAUGGAUGAAGUACUGAUCAUAUGAAUGAAUUGUUAGUAUUGUACUACAAUGGUCUCAAGGUUGGAGCAAAGUUUGUAUAAAGUAUACAAACAAAAUAUAUGUCGAUAUAUAGUUUUAGAAACUGCUUCAAAAAGGUGUUUUGAAUGGAAGAGGUUCUUUUAGAAACAAUGAUUGAAUCCAAACCAUAAGGUCGUUAGUAGGAUACUACGACGUAAUGGGGCGAUAGCUCAAGCCAUGGAAUCAAGGUCUCAUCAAAGUAUUCGAACACAAUAAAGAGACAUCAUCAAAUGUUUUAGAAACAUUUGAUAAGUAAAUCCCUUUUAAAUAAAAAGGAUUAAUACAUAACCAAGUUAACCUACGAGCAUAAGCUCUCUCAACUAGCAUGUAUAAGAUACACUAGUGAUUGACUUUAGUGCAAGUGGGAGAUUGUUGGAAAUAUGCCCUGAAAGUCAAUCUUUGGAAGAAACCUUUCAGGACAAAUGAAUCGAUGUAUAG
rnacentral:lncRNA from 1 species